GGAAGGAUCAUUGCCGAUUUUGACUUGACGGAGGGAGGUUUUCAGAGACUCUCGAAGCGCUCGCCUCUUUUCCGAAACGAAAACACCUCUGUGCACUUAUCGGGGGGUCACCCUCCCCGUUAUAAUCGAACGCCUUAUCCUGUCGCGUGCGUAUUUGGAAAAAGUUUGAAUUUGAAAUACAACUUUCAACAACGGAUCUCUUGGCUUUCGCAUCGAUGAAGAACGCCGCGAAAGCGCGAAACGUAAUGUGAAUUGCAGAAUUCAGUGAAUCAUCGAAUCUUUGAACGCACCUUGCGCUCCUUGGUAUUCCGAGGAGCAUGCCUGUUUGAGUGUCCUGAAGUCUCAUCGGAAGGGGGUUCUGAGGGCCCUCGUUCGGAUUUUGGACGGUCUUUGCCCUUUGCCGAUCGCAAAGGGCUCGUCUUUGAAUUCAUGGGGUCGUUUCUUUUCGGACAGACGUGAUAAGUCUUGCGUCGUCUGGCAAAAAAGAUCCUUCCCCCCUCCUUCCUCCUCUAUGUUCGGGGAGGAGAUUUUUCACAAACCAUCCUCUGACCUCAAAUCAGGCAGGACUACCCGCUGAACUUAAGCAUAUCAAUAAGCGGAGGAAAAGAAACUAACAAGGAUUCCCCUAGUAACGGCGAGUGAAGCGGGAACAGCUCAAAUUUGUAAUCUGGCGGCUCUAAGGCCGUCCGAGUUGUAAUCUGGAGAAGCGUUUUCAGUGCCGGCCCGCGUACAAGUCCCCUGGAACGGGGCGUCGCAGAGGGUGAGAAUCCCGUCUCUGACGCGGUCUACCGGCACGCUGCGAUGCGCUCUCGAAGAGUCGAGUUGUUUGGGAAUGCAGCUCAAAAUGGGUGGUAAAUUCCAUCUAAAGCUAAAUAUUGGCGAGAGACCGAUAGCGAACAAGUACCGUGAGGGAAAGAUGAAAAGCACUUUGGAAAGAGAGUUAAACAGUACGUGAAAUUGUUGAAAGGGAAACGCUCGAAGUCAGUCGCGUCUCUCGGGAUUCAGUCGCGUCUUAGCGGACGGCGACGUACUUCCCGGGUCUGGACGGGCCAGUGUCGAUUUCGACCGUCGUAGAAAGGCAUGGGGAACGUGGCACCUUUUCCAAGGUGUGUUAUAGCCUCGCGUUCGUAUGCGACGGUGGGGAUCGAGGCACGCAGCGCGCCUCUUAUGAUGGCCGGGGUUCGCCCACGUAACGCGCUUGGGAUGCUGGCUUAAUGGCUUCGAGCGACCCGUCUUGAAACACGGACCAAGGAGUCUAACAUGCCCGCGAGUGUUCGGGUGGAAAACCCGUGCGCGUAAUGAAAGUGAAAGGUUGGGACCCUCCUCGGAGGGGCACCGACGCCCGGACUUGAGCUUCUGCGACGGUUCCGAGGCGGAGCGUGUAUGUUGGGACCCGAAAGAUGGUGAACUAUGCCUGAGUAGGGUGAAGCCAGAGGAAACUCUGGUGGAGGCUCGUAGCGAUUCUGACGUGCAAAUCGAUCGUCGAACUUGGGUAUAGGGGCGAAAGACUAAUCGAACCAUCUAGUAGCUGGUUCCUGC
rnacentral:misc_RNA from 1 species